rnacentral:rRNA from 1 species
CCUACGGGCGGCUGCAGUGGGGAAUAUUGGACAAUGGGGGCAACCCUGAUCCAGCCAUGCCGCGUGUGUGAAGAAGGCCCUCGGGUUGUAAAGCACUUUCAGUGAGGAAGAACGCCUGGUGGUUAAUACCCAUCAGGAAAGACAUCACUCACAGAAGAAGCACCGGCUAACUCCGUGCCAGCAGCCGCGGUAAUACGGAGGGUGCGAGCGUUAAUCGGAAUUACUGGGCGUAAAGCGCGCGUAGGUGGCUUGAUAAGCCGGUUGUGAAAGCCCCGGGCUCAACCUGGGAACGGCAUCCGGAACUGUCAAGCUAGAGGGCAGGAGAGGAAGGUAGAAUUCCCGGUGUAGCGGUGAAAUGCGUAGAGAUCGGGAGGAAUACCAGUGGCGAAGGCGGCCUUCUGGACUGACACUGACACUGAGGUGCGAAAGCGUGGGUAGCAAACAGGAUUAGAUACCCCUGUAGUC